rnacentral:tRNA from 1 species
GGGCGUGUAGCUCAACGGUAGAGCAGCGGCCUUUUAAGCCGUUGGCUGUGGGUUCGAAUCCCACCGCGCCCACCA